rnacentral:tRNA from 1 species
GGCGCGAUAGCCAAGUGGUAAGGCCGAGGUCUGCAAAACCUUUAUCAUCGGUUCGAUUCCGAUUCGCGCCUCCA